rnacentral:misc_RNA from 1 species
UUGCAUCUUAUAUUUGGUGGAAAAUGUUUAAGAUCACCACAACCCUCUAAAUCCAAUAAAAUGAGUUUGUUGAGAGAAUUGAUGGAGGGAUGAAUCUCACACAAUCUGACACAGUUACUUAGAACCAAUCUCUCGAGAUUCGGAACCCCAGAAAAAUCAGGUGUCACGCUAAAGUGUUCUGAGUUACUAACAUCAAUUACUUUCAGCUUCGGA